GACAACCGACACCUAAAGCAUGACUGAUUCUCGACGCUUGUCGAUCGACGACAACUUCUGAUGGUCGACGAUGAAGAUUUCCGACGAAAUCAAACAGUAGCAGAAUCCACACCGAUUCUCUCUCACGAUUUAGGUACUUGUUCAAUCUUCUAUGGCUUCUGCUUUCUUUUUAGUCUGAGAUUUAGUUUUAGCUUCACGAUUUUAUAGUAGCAAUCAGAAAUGAAUAAGCGAUUUUUCUGAAUUUGAACUCGGUUUCAUGGAAUUCCAGUAGCACUAAGUGAAAAUGGGUAGAACUCCUUAGGUUCCGCCCAAAAUAUCUAGAUUGGAUUUAUGUUUAUGCAUUUCGUUUAAAUUUGGGGUUAUUUGAAUUUGAAAUCACGAUUUCGUUUUCGAUUUCAUGAUCGAGCAGUAGCACUGAGCUUAAAACAACCUGAAAUUCAUAUUUUACAGUGCUUUUGGAGCAGUAGCAGUUUCAUUUCAAGAUUUUAACCUAAAUAUUAAUGGAGGAACCGGGGGUUUGGAAGGAUACUAAGGAGCAAAAAAGAAACAGAUUGAGUUGGCCAAAGAUAUUGAGAUAGGAUUGAGAAAGAAGCAUCAUCAAGCCGUGCUACUGCAGUGGAGCAAGACGUAGGAAAAAAACAAACAGAGCAAAGAAGCAAAAGCAUGUGGCUGAAAAGGAAAAGCAUGUGGCAGAGAAAGAAGGGAUUGUAAAAAUGACAUUAAGAGAUAGGGUUGAUAAUGUAGUUGGUGACGAUGACUUUAAGAACCUUCCACUGAAGAAUGGUGCUACUGCAUAGGAUGAGGUGGUAAAGCAAAAAGAAAAGAGGAAGAACUUGAACAAUGGUGCUAAUGCAGAAGCUGAGAAGGGUGUGCUAAAGAGGGAGCUACUGUGGUGACUAAGAAGAAAGAAAGAAAAGAAGAGGUGGUAAAGAAGAAAAAAGGAAGAACUUGAAGUAUGGUGCUAAUGUAGAAGC